AUUGAACGCUGGCGGCAUGCUUUACACAUGCAAGUCGAACGGCAGCGCGGGCUUCGGCCUGGCGGCGAGUGGCGAACGGGUGAGUAAUAUAUCGGAACGUACCCAAGAGUGGGGGAUAACGUAGCGAAAGUUACGCUAAUACCGCAUACGAUCGAAGGAUGAAAGCAGGGGACCGCAAGGCCUUGUGCUCCUGGAGCGGCCGAUAUCUGAUUAGCUAGUUGGUGAGGUAAAGGCUCACCAAGACAACGAUCAGUAGCUGGUCUGAGAGGACGACCAGCCACACUGGAACUGAGACACGGUCCAGACUCCUACGGGAGGCAGCAGUGGGGAAUUUUGGACAAUGGGGGCAACCCUGAUCCAGCAAUGCCGCGUGAGUGAAGAAGGCCUUCGGGUUGUAAAGCUCUUUUGUCAGGGAAGAAAAGGUCGUGGCUAAUAUCCACGACUGCUGACGGUACCUGAAGAAUAAGCACCGGCUAACUACGUGCCAGCCGCCGCUGUAACAC
rnacentral:rRNA from 1 species